GUUGAGUUAUGGUUUUGCUCAAUAGCACUUUGCUGUUCCUUAAGGCCAUCAAUUACUUUUCUCUCCCUACCUACACGGACUUUGGCUAAUACAAAGAUGAAGGAGCUUAGAGAGGAUGAUAAAGAGGAAGAGGAUGGCAAGAACAGCCUGAGUCUGGUUGGCUGGACGGGAAACAUAACUGUGAUACUCCAACAAGGCCAGGGCUACCUCCUGAAGCAGAGCUAUGUUCCUUGCCAACUACUUAAAGAAGAAGCUGAUGCAUAAGAUGAGUGUGGCUUGAGCAAAACUGGUCUUCUGAUUCAGACUUCUGGCCAAGAUGGAGGUGUAGGUAGAUACACGUUGCCUCUUCACACAACCAAAAGAAGGACAACAAAUUUAAAAACAAAAAGUAACCUGGACUGCCAUGAAAUUGAACUGUAUGGAAGUCUUACGAUCAAGGAAUUAAAGAAGAAAUAUUCA